ensembl:lncRNA
CGGUUGUAGUGCCUGGGAAACAAGUACGGAACAAGGCAUUAUUUGCCCUGUCCUCCUCCGUGGUGGAAGAUGUACGAUUUGGCCGUAUGUCCAUGAAGCCCACUUAUUGUUGCCACAGCGAGGCAGUUUCAAAGGCGUGGGUUGAAAAGAACAAACACAAAAAAGCAAGGCGACAGCAGCUCCACCUGCCGUCUCUACUGCUGCUGCACAUCACUUCAGCAAACUGAUGAACUGCGGCAACCUCAGAUUAACCUCCAACCCCAUCUUUCUUUUUUUUGCAAUCCUAGACCCAUCACUGGAGGACCCCUCGGCAGUGGAAAUGUUGGCUUACCCUGCAGCCUCAACUCGUCCUUGCCUUUACGUGGGCAAAAUAUACAUUUUGAAGACUGGAGUAAUGAGGUCUGCUGAUGAAUAUGGAGCCCGUUGUCUAACGAGGCUUGAAAUCCAAAGUUUUCGACACUGGACCUGAGCAUCUGACUUUCUAUUAUUAGGGCAGACAUACGUUAUUUAACAAGGAAC